rnacentral:rRNA from 1 species
UCGGGAAUAUUGCGCAAUGGGGGAAACCCUGAUGCAGCGACGCCGCGUGAGGGAAGAAGGCCUUCGGGUUGUAAACCUCUGUCCUAUGGGAAGAAAAAAAUUGACGGUACCAUAGGAGGAAGCUCCGGCUAACUACGUGCCAGCAGCCGCGGUAAUACGUAGGGAGCGAGCGUUGUCCGGAAUUACUGGGCGUAAAGGGUGCGUAGGCGGUUAUUUAAGUCAGAUGUGAAAUACUUGAGCUUAACUCAGGGGCUGCAUCUGAUACUGGGUGACUAGAGUGCAGGAGAGGAAAGUGGAAUUCCUAGUGUAGCGGUGGAAUGCGUAGAUAUUAGGAGGAACACCAGUGGCGAAGGCGACUUUCUGGACUGUAACUGACGCUGAGGCACGAAAGUAUGGGGAGCAAACAGGAUUAGAUACC